rnacentral:misc_RNA from 1 species
CUGGCGUCAGGGGAAGCCCGGAGAGGGGCGGGGUGACGUGGCCCUUGUGAGGAGCCCCUGGGGUGUCCACGACCCCCAGGGGAGGAUCGCUACCGGCGACCCAAGUAACACGUGCCCACGCCCCCAACCCACGCCCCGCCAUGAACAUCGCCAAGCUGCGACACACGUUUAUGCGGUCUCGGACGCCCACGGGCGCCGAGAUGAAGCAACAGAACAGCUUGGAUGUUCCGCCGCAGAUCCGCUCUGCUUCAUUCGACGAGAUGCAGCUCAAGCCGGGACGGCGAGAGUCGUCGUCGUCGUCCUCGUCACCCGCGGAACGGCAGUCCUUUCUGCUCCGCGUGCCCUACCUCGGCCCAAAACGUUCCAAGAGUUUCGACUCUGGUUGUGGCGACGUCGACGACACCGACUCCUCGUCCCGCAAGAAGAACUCGCGUCCAUCCUCACUUGACAAGGCGAGCCACCAGUGCGUCCACUGUGUGUAUAUAGAAUCGCUGUCACGACGCUUUGGCUGUGAGGGCAGAAGAAUUCCCUACAACAUGUCACUUGACUUCGUGAGCAGUCUGGACAGCUCGCGUGAGGAGGUGGAGGACGAGGAGGACGAGGACUGGGACGAGGACAGCUCGAGUGACGAGCUGCACGAGGUGAUCUGUCGCAUCAAGGUAACGCUCAGUCCUAACUCACCGUCGUCGGCGUCGCCCACGCAGGAAGAAGCACCGACUAGCGUGGCCACGGCGCCGCGCAGUAAAACAGUCUCUCCUAAGUUGGAGCGUCAACCUGCCAUCUUCUGUAUGAACACGAGCACCGAGCUCAGUUCACAGGAGAACAGUUUUGAUUUAAGUGAUGGUGGAUAUAGCCACCACGGUUCCUUUCAGUACUUGGGUUCCUCUAGUGAGUACGGUGAUGGGGAGCAAAGUGGGGAGCAGGGAGGAGGGGAGCAGCAGCAGCAGCAGCAGCAGCAGCAGCAGCAGCAGCAGCAGCAGCAGCAGCAGCAGCUCCACCAGCAGCAGCUCCACCAGCAGCAGCGCGGGAGCAGCAGCAGGGAGGGGUUGGAGGGAAAGGAAGGGGUGACGGACGUGUUCCUGGAGGUGCCGUCUCGCAGGGACAGAGCCGCCUCCCUCGACUUUGCCUUCGCCAGCUUCCCCGACCCGGAGGAACUGCUCAAGUCCGUCACAGCGGGCCUCACGCGCUCAGUCUCCCUCGAACCUCCCAAGUCCCUCCGCUCCAAGAGUAUCGACAUCGAAUUACCAACUGAGGAAGAUGGUGACUACAAGGUUGUGGUGACCUCCCCCAAGACGGCCAAGAAGGCCAUCAACUCUGAGGUGGAGAUCCAGUGUGAGAAUGGCGAGCGUCGGGUCCUGCGCUCCACCUGCGACUGGAAUGAAGGAGCCAUCAACGGGGACCAUCUGUGGUGCCCAACCUCAGCCUCCGGCGACUUUUGCUACGUCGGCGAGGACAACUGCUGCAAAUCGGGGGCGCGGAUGAAAUGCUCAGCGUGUAAGAUCAUCGCCCACACCGGAUGCAUCGCUGCCCUGGUGGAGCGGGUCAAGUUCCCGUGUAAGCCAACCUUCCGAGACGUGGGCCCGCGACAAUACCGCGAGCAGACCGCCACCCACCACCACUGGGUGCACAGGCGGAGUCAGAAGGGCAAAUGUAAACAAUGCGGCAAGGGGUUCCAGUCGAAGCUGUUGUUUGGGUCCAAGGAGAUCGUGGCCAUUAGUUGUUCGUGGUGUAAGGCGGCUUACCACAACAAAGAGAGCUGCUUCAAUAUCAGCAAGAUCGAGGAAACUUGUUCCCUUGGGAUCCACACGAGCAUCAUAGUGCCGCCCUCCUGGAUCGUGAAGCUGCCUCGACGUGGAUCCUUCAAGUCCUCCCUCAGGAAGAGUCCUAAGAAGCGAGCAUCAACCAAGAGGAAGAACAGAGACAAGGAGGGCGAGGAUGGCAAGCAGAACGAGAAGGACACGCGACCCUUCGCCAUCAAGCCUAUCCCCAACGCCAACAUCAAACCCCUGAUCGUGUUCAUCAAUCCAAAGAGUGGUGGCAACCAGGGCGCCAAGCUGAUGCAGAAGUUCCAGUGGCUCCUUAACCCUAGGCAGGUCUUUGAUCUGACCCAGGGAGGACCUAAAGCAGGGUUAGAGAUGUUCCGGAAAGUGUCCAACCUGAGAGUGCUGGCGUGUGGCGGGGACGGCACCGUGGGGUGGGUCCUGUCCGUCCUCGACCAGCUCAACUUCCAACCUCCCCCCGCCGUAGCCGUCCUGCCCCUCGGCACCGGGAAUGAUCUUGCCCGUGCCCUUGGCUGGGGAGGCGGGUACACAGACGAACCCAUCAGCAAGAUCCUGUGUAACAUCGCCGACGGGGAGGUAGUUCACUUGGACCGCUGGCGUGUGGACGUUGUUAAGAAUGAGGAGUAUGAGCCCACAGAGGAAGGCAGGGACACCCUACCCCUCAGUGUUGUCAAUAACUACUUCUCUUUCGGUGUCGACGCCCACAUUGCCCUCGAGUUCCAUGAGGCCAGAGAGGCCAACCCUCAGAAGUUCAACUCUCGGUUAAGGAACAAGAUGUUCUAUGGUCAGGCUGGAGGCAAGGAUCUUUUACAACGCAAGUGGAAAGAUCUUUCAGACAACUGCACGCUGGAGUGUGAUGGCAAGGACAUGACACCCAUCUUGAAGGAGAAUAAGGUCCAUGCUGUCGUCUUCCUCAACAUUCCUAGCUAUGGAUCAGGUACCCAUCCAUGGAACCGGAGCAGUGGAGUAGAGCAGCAUACAGAUGAUGGUAUCAUUGAAGUCAUUGGGCUCACCACGUACCAGAUGCCACUGUUACAGGCUGGUGGUCAUGGAACAACAAUCUGCCAGUGCAAGAGGGCGAGGAUCAUCACCAAGAAGACUAUUCCCAUGCAGGUAGAUGGAGAGGCAGCGAGGGUCAACCCAAGCAUCAUAGAGCUCACGCAUCUCAACAAGGCCUCAAUGGUGACCAAGAAGAAGGCUAAGUCUGUCCCGAUGCCACAUCUAGAACAGCUCCGCCUCCAGGUAUUGAGGAUCACCAUGUUUGACUAUGAGCAGCAUCAUUAUGACAAGGAGAAGCUGCGUAGUGCCUCCUCCCCGAUUGGCCUCAUCAUGAUAGAUCAAGAUGCAGAUCUCGAACAGGUCCGUAAACACGUCAACCGCAUGAUGGAAGAGACAGCACACAAGGGUCGCUCCACCAAGCCCCUGUCCGAGAGCUGGUGUUUCCUCGACUCAUGCACAGCAGAAAGAUUCUUCCGUAUAGAUCGAGCUCAGGAGCACCUCCACUAUGUGACGGACAUUUGCACUGAGGAUCUCUUCGUGCUGGACCCAGAGCUCAUUGAUCCCACCGCCAUCAGUGGCAUAAGAGGGGAUGUGAGCGUGGACAACGACAUUGACCAUAGCGAGAGGAUGGCCAUGGUAAGCGACAGUGACUCUGGAGUGGGCGGAACUGAUGCGGAGCAGCGAAACCCCACCCCCGCCCUCACCGCCAGCCAAGACUCCUCUGACACCGGGGAGGAGGAGGUGGAGGCGGCCCUGGAGGCCGGGGUACCCAGCUUGCAUGACCGUGUCUUUGGUCCAGAAUACUACCCUCCCAGCCACCUUCUUGAGAAGAACUCAGAUGGGAUCAUAAAGGCUGCCAAGCAAGGGGAUCUAAAGAUGCUAAAGGAUCUCCACUCACAAGGGUUUUCACUACUCUCAAUUGAUGCGCAUGGACAGACUGCCCUUCACUAUGGUGCACGCCAUGGGCACAAAGACAUUGUGCGUUAUCUAAUUGCAUCUGCCCCGCCUUCCAUCCUUGACAUGGUGGAUACAGAUAAGGGCCAGACAGCACUUCACCAGGCUGCGUACAACCGACGACGAACAGUUUGUUGUAUGCUGGUAGCAGCAGGUGCCUCCCUCACCAUCAGGGACCUACUGGGCAACACUCCCAGGGCUCUGGCCCAACGUGCAGAUGACCAGGAGUUGGCUGCCUAUCUGGAGAGCCAAGAGAAAUUCUCUCAACCCAACAAUAGUAAUCUCAAUUACGUUGACUAAACUGCGAACAAAAAAAUAUACUUCCUUAGGUAACGGUGGGUGGCUCCUGUUAUGGCAGGUCCCAGGUUCUUGUUUAUGUAAGAAUGUAGCGAUGCAGUUUAGAUAUAUUGUCAAUGAAUCACAUUUUGCACCACUGCUUUGCCAAUUUAGUUACACAUAAAGUAAUUAAUUAUGUAGAGGUAAAUCUUGUAGCCAUAAAAAAGUGAACUCAUGCACACCCACCCAGUGAUUAAAAGUUGUUUGUAUAAAAAGUAUAUAUUAAUCUUUUUGUAAUUAAUAGUUUUGGUGGCAUUAGAAAGAAGGUUCUUGUAUUUGCCAUUGAUGAAUAUUUAAUUUCUAUCAAAGUAGCCUACCAAGGGUGAAAGGCUACAUACUGAUGGAAAAUGUGCCGUGACAGGUGAUGAGGGCCUUUAGGUGAGAAUUAUAUUGGGCUGAGCUGAUUGUUGCUUUACCUCAAUACUCUUUAUUAUUCUCAGUGAAGGUGUAUUGAAGGUCAACUGAUAUCUGAUCACGGUACAGGAAUUUUUUAUGCAAGAUAAUGUUUUGGAUGGCAAUCACUUAUUUCCAGCAGUAUUUUUGCAGUCAUGAUAUUUAUAAAUUUAAAUCAACUUCCCCUUGAAUGAAAUACCUAUCCAAAACAUAUGACAGUAUUGUGUAGAUAGUGUGCCAACAGAGUGGAUUACACAUCACCUCGCUGUUUCUUGCACGCUCUAUGCCAAGGAUUCUGCUCUGGCUCUGUUCUGCCAGGAGCAGUUUCAGACCAUGGUUCAUGAGGACUUGGAGACAACCGUAUGAUUGAGGCUGUACCUCGGCCAAGGAUCAUGGAAACCCAUCCUCUGGCUGAGCUUGGCAACCUUCAGAGUGGAUGAUCUCUUCUUACAUAAACUUAUCAUCUCUUGACACAUUAUUGAAUUUUUUCUUGUGUUUUAUAUGAAUCAACAUAGAGGGAUGAGAGGAUGAUUUUCAUCUCUAGUCAGUUUUAGUAAUUCCAUCUCAAGUUUGUCAAGCCUCCAUACAAAACAAGAAACAGCUGCGGAAUCUGACUGAUACAUGUGAGUUGUCAGAAUGCUGUAUUAAAACAUACAGUAAAGUUUUAUGGUCUGAAAGAUGAAGAAAACCAAGACUGCUCUGCUGCUGGUCUUCCACUGUGAACAACUUUUGGACAGUGAACAGAUGUAGACAUGGUUGCCAACCUAAGUCAUUCCAGUCAAAUAUAAGAUAUUUAAUGUGUCUGUGUAAUUCAUGUGUAGGUUUUUUGAAACCCCUUUAAUCUUUAGUAUUUAAAUACCCAUAACCUGCAUACAGUAAAGUCCCCUGAUAAGCUUAGUGUCCCACUGUGCUUCAAUCAUAUGCUAUAUAAAUAUAUAUAUAUAAAAAUAAUUUUUUUUAAGGAUAAUAUAUCUAUUUAAAUUUCAAUCAAUUAAGUGUACUUUAAUAUUGUUGUUUUCCCACAGUUACUUUUCUUGUAUGGCAUCCGUAGAUAGGUAUGUGCAGUUUGGACAUAUCAGUAUUGUAGUCAUUGUAGCUUCUUGUUUCAUCAACACUAUUGGUUUCCUAAGAUCUGCUCAUGUGAGGCAGUUAAAAGUAUUGACUUGUAUGUUGAAGGUAACACAGAGUGAGCUGUGAGAGACUGAUGGAAAGCUAGGAAUUUUUUUCUGGAUGAUAGGCUAUAUUAAUAAGGUAUACUUGCUCUGUUAUGGAAUAUACCUAUGAACUUUAAAUAGGUCAAAGUUUAGUACUAAAAGAUGAAGUUAUUUAGGAAUAUAUAGUGUUAUUUGAUACCAGCACGAUAUGCUAGCCUGAACUGCUUGGUGGCGUUGUACGAUGUCUCCCCCCUAUGUGCCAGGCAUGAGACUAGCAUCCGAGUAGUCAUGUCAUGAAGGAGAGUCAUUAAUGUAUUGCUCGUCCUGGUGCAGUUUCAGGGUUUGACUCUGGGCCGCCCAAAUACCGUACUACAUGUUAUUUUUACAAUUGGUUUGAAUUCCAAUGGUUUAAAGGAUAUCAGGCAAAGUAUCAAAAUGUUUAACGUAUUUCUUCAUUCUGAGUUUGAGUGUGUUUAAAAAAAUGACAAGUAUUGAGAAGUGUUCUGUGUGAAAAUAUCUUUCAUGCACAGUGUCUGGGCUUCCCAUAGUCACAUCCAUGUUGGGUAUGCACAUGAAAUUGCACAAGAAGCUUGAGCAAGUAGAUAUCUCUAUCUUAUGAUAAAUAUGCUGGUAAAGAUAGGUAAUAUUUAGUUAAUUUGAUUUGAUUACCUUUAUGCACUAGUGUUAAAGUAUAAUCAAGAGCCAUUGUUUACAGAUGCCAAUUAGAACUAUGAGUAGACCAUAGCGUGUAGAAUAUAUGUGCAAUCUGUCAACAGUCGCUCCUAUUGAAAAUGCGGGGAAUAGUGCAUAGGGGUCAAAUCACGUAUUCUUGCUUGUACAACAUUUCAUUUAUGUGGUAGUCGCAUAACCUAGUUAGAAAGUUAAACAGUAAAUUGUACUCAGAAUAUGUUUUCAUGGAAGAAGGUACAUGCAAGAUGUCAUAAAAUAACUUCAUCUUUUCACUUCAAACUCAAAUUGAUAAUUGAAAAUAUACCUGGAAAGUGGUUUUAGAAAGCCAAGGUUAGACUCAACAAAGUGAAAGAUCAAGAGGACUGAAUGAUUUGUAAGUGGAUGUGUCCACUUACAAACAGGUAGUUGAUGAAUAGGUCUUAAAAUUACUUAACUUCUUUAUUUUCUUCUUUAAAGUCUGCCUAUUACAUUCCGGAAUCAAAUUGUUUCUCAAGAUGAUGUGUUACCUUAUUUCCUUGUUCUCUAAAUUUGUUCCUUACUAAAUCUGUGAUCUACCAAGUGCUGAGAAGUUCUCUUCCACAUGUCAUUACUGAAUAAACUUUUAGUCUUA